rnacentral:rRNA from 1 species
GAUGAACGCUGGCGGCGUGCUUAACACAUGCAAGUCGAACGAAGCAUUUAGAACGGAUUACUUCGGUUUAAAGUUCUUUAUGACUGAGUGGCGGACGGGUGAGUAACGCGUGGGUAACCUGCCUUGUACUGGGGGAUAGCAGCUGGAAACGGCUGGUAAUACCGCAUAAGCGCACAAUGUUGCAUGACAUGGUGUGAAAAACUCCGGUGGUAUAAGUUGGACCCGCGUCUGAUUAGCUAGUUGGUGAGAUAACAGCCCACCAAGGCGACGAUCAGUAGCCGACCUGAGAGGGUGACCGGCCAGAGUGGGACUGAGACACGGCCCAGACUCCUACGGGAGGCAGCAGUGGGGAAUAUUGCACAAUGGAGGAAACACUGAUGCAGCGACGCCGCGUGAGUGAAGAAGUAAUUCGUUAUGUAAAGCUCUAUCAGCAGGGAAGAUAGUGACGGUACCUGACUAAGAAGCUCCGGCUAAAUACGUGCCAGCCGCCGCCGUAA